GAAACAAUUUGAUUUGAUGAUGAUAGUAUAAUUAAGGAUGGUAAAUCAAAUAUUUCUAUUAUGAGAGAAUGAUAGGUGAUUCAAGAGAAUUUAUUUACAGUUGAUUGUAACAUGAAAUUGCACAUCAAUGAGCAUAUACACAAUAUAGCCUAUCUAGAAACCACUGAUAUGGAAUCACCUGCGAAACUGAUAAAAACUAAGGGUUCUCCUAAUAAGGUCAAACCAACUCCU
rnacentral:lncRNA from 1 species